rnacentral:lncRNA from 1 species
UAUGCCUUUUUGUGCAUCUUUGUUACAUAUUUGAUUGUUUUAAUAGUGAUUAAGAUUAUAAUACAAUGUUGACUACAGUAUCCGUUUAGACAUAUUUACCUAUUAUGUCUGUUUGUUUUUGUUCACAAGUCGUUGUCAAUAUAAUAGAAUUUGAUGCAUCUGUCAUACAAGUGAGAGGUUUAGCUAGCUUUAAAACGAGGG